GAUAUUAUAUUGUAUUGGCAUUUUAUUUUUUCUUAUUAAAGGUUAUAAUAUUU
rnacentral:tRNA from 1 species